UGCCAUGAGCCCCUGCCUCCUGGGCUGUGUGGUCUUCUGUCUCCUGCAGGCAGGGGCGGUCCACGCUGGUGUCACCCAGGACCCCAGAUUCCAGGUCGUAAGGACAGGACAGAGCACAACACUGAAAUGUACUCAAGAUCUGAACCAUGAUUAUAUGUGCUGGUACCGACAAGACCCGGGACACGGGCUGAGGCUGAUCUAUUACUUAGCUGUUGUGCCCAAUAGCGAGCCAGGAGAUGUGUCCGAGGGUUACAGCGUCUCCAGAUCAAAGAAAGAGAACUUCCCUCUGACGCUGAAGUCUGCCAACCGCUCCCAGACAUCUGUGUACUUCUGCGCCAGCAGUUACUCCACGGCGCUUCACGGCCACCUCCUCUCUGUGCAAAAAGACAGGGGGUCCACGUGCAGGGCCCUAACCCGGGAGCCUCAGGGCUUUGUUAGCCCCAUGCUUGCAGCGUGACCCUCGGUGUGUGCACCAGGUUGGCCUCAGCCUC